rnacentral:lncRNA from 1 species
UCAAAUGUACCAUAAAUAAAUUUUUUUUCUUUAACUUUUGUUUUUCUUCUCCGCACCUACAAUAAUGUCCUCUUAUUGUACGUGUAGACCCCCCCUAACUCAAAGGAGGUAGUCCUUGAUAAAAAUCGUUGAUACAGCAACCAAGAUAACAAUACAAAUUGGCUAAGUAGUAUAUUUUCAAUUUUGCUCCAACAUCUCGAGCUUUAAUUUGCACAACUAAAUAAGCCAACGAACAGCUCC